AGCGAACGCUGGCGGCAGGCUUAACACAUGCAAGUCGAACGGUCCUUCGGGAUAGUGGCGGACGGGUGGGUAACACGUGGGAACGUACCCUUAGGUUCGGAACAACACAGGGAAACUUGUGCUAAUACCGGAUAAGCCCUUCGGGGGAAAGAUUUAUCGCCUUUGGAGCGGCCCGCGUCUGAUUAGCUUGUUGGUGAGGUAAUGGCUCACCAAGGCUACGAUCAGUAGCUGGUCUGAGAGGAUGGCCAGCCACACUGGGACUGAGACACGGCCCAGACUCCUACGGGAGGCAGCAGUGGGGAAUCUUGCGCAAUGGGCGAAAGCCUGACGCAGCCAUGCCGCGUGGAUGAUGAAGGUCUUGGGAUUGUAAAAUCCUUUCACCGGGGACGAUAAUGACGGUACCCGGAGAAGAAGCCCCGGCUAACUUCGUGCCAGCCGCCGCGGUAA
rnacentral:rRNA from 1 species